rnacentral:rRNA from 1 species
AUGUCGCUUUCCGUGGAUGAAAUACAUCAUAAAUACAACAAACUCACCUACGUGUACCCUGCACUAAUACAUCGAUAUAGGCCAUCCCAAAGCAUCUUCUGCGGACGCGAUACCGAGCUAUUAGGUGCUCGUCCACCAAAACGACUAUUUGUUAUUAACGGGACAAUGAGUCCUAGGAAAACAAGGGGGAUGGCCACUUCGUCGAUGCUCUUCCUGUCGUUCUGGGUUUUGGGCGUCGGCAUCGCCGUGGCCGUGAGGGGCAACUCCACGGUUUGCAUAGCCGCCCUUCGCUGGCCCACAUUCUACGUCGGCAUCGCCUUCGUGGUCGUCUCUCUCUUCGGUUGCUUCUGCUGCUGCGCCGCCACGCGUAUCGGUUGCUGCCCCAAGAACUUCUUCCUCGUCGGCCUCUUCUUCGUCCUCAGCGUCGUGGUCGUCUUCAGCCACGUCGCCGUUAGUAGCAAGUACUGGGGCACAAUCAGCGUGUGCCUCGGCCACAGGAACACCUGCGAUGGCAUGAGCCUCCUCACAAACUCUCCAGUCCAGUCUGGAUGCUGCAAGCCACCAUCAUCGUGUGCAUUCACAUACGUGAAUGGCACGACGUGGUCACCACCAACAGCUGCCGUGGACCAAGACUGCAGCAGGUGGAGCAACGAUCAGCGAACGCUUUGCUUCCAGUGUGACUCGUGCAAGGCAAGCGUCGUGGGCCGAGUAAAUUGCACAGAAGUACCACAAUUGGAGCAUUGGAAGCAGAUUGGUACCAAGAUUGGUAAUUUUUACGUGUCAGUACGAAGAUUGGGGCUAGCCGUUGCAAAAAAGAUUAAAAGCUCGUUUUGUACGUAUUGA